UAGACACCCUGUGUCUAUUGGUUGGAUCAAGCAAAGUCUGCAGCAAGUUUCGGCUAUCCCCCGCCAUGGUGCGCACUAGUCGACUAGCCGCACCGACUUUUCCCUCUACUUACACGAACCAAAUGGAAAAACCUCUAUACGGAGUCCUUAUUCACCAUCCCAAUACCGAUGUAAAUUUGGUUGAAAUGGUGAAAUGUAAUGAUGAAAAUAUUACUUAGUGGACACAAAUCUUUUUCCAAGAGGUGAUUUUCUACACUUACUGGAAUUCUUUAACUAAAAGUUAAGGAUUCUAAGAUACUCUUAAUUAAAAAAUACAAGGAAACCCUGUUUUUGCUUAAUCUUGUAUUUAGGUUUACGAAGCAGUAGCAGUAGCGAGCGCCAGAUGGUGUCGUCGUAACCCUUGUUUUUCCUCUGAUUAGUUGUUGCCAGGUAACGCGUCCCCGCCAUAGGAGGUAUACGAGUUUACAGGCCUUAAGCAUUUAGUAGGCCUUGAGUAGACGUACUACCUCUAAACUAUUAUACCAUGAUCCCCUCUAUGACUCUGAUAGGAAUGUUAAAGAACAAAUUUCAAAACGGGCAAGUAGUAGGAUUUUUCAGGCAACAACUUCAGCUCAACAAGAUCUCUUGCAAUUCACAUGACAGAAAGAAUUAAAGAAUUAGAUACAUUGUAGUUUGCACACCAAUGUCUUUCCAAGCAACCAAAGGUUCGAGCACUGUUAACCAACAACAAAUAUCUCUAGAAAAAAUGUCUGAACUCUUACUAUCUCAUUGUAUUGUUCUCAUCUCCUUCGGACAACUCUACCAGUAUGGUUCAUGAUAGGCUUUUGUCUAAGAACUGAUCUUUCAUUCAGGUAGAAUUUUGCAAGCUUGCAUCUGAUUUUCUUUAUGUGUUCAUUUUGCAGAAGAAGGAAAAUUUCUAAGCAGAAAUAAAUUUUGUAUUUAAAUGGAUACACAAAGACACACAUUUGGUUUUAGAUAAUAAAACAUUGAUGCAGA